rnacentral:rRNA from 1 species
GACAGAGGUGCCAAGCGUUAGGCGGAAUCACUGGGCUUAAAGCGUGUGUAGGCGGGUGUCUAAGUACCUUUUGAAAUCCCACGGCUCAACCGUGGAACUGCUGGGUAUACUGGGUGCCUUGGGUCAUCUAGGGGCUGCCGGAACAAAUGGUGGAGCGGUGAAAUGCGUAGAUAUCAUUUGGAACGCCAACGGCGAAAGCAGGCAGCUGGGGAUGCACCGACGCUGAGACACGAAAGCCAGGGGAGCGAACGGG